rnacentral:lncRNA from 1 species
CCCAGAUGCCCGAACGUUAGAGGAGGGUUUUUACCAGGAGAUAACCUUCUCCAAAGCUGCAAUUUCCACGUGUCCACACCACAUUAUCCACCUGUAAUAUUUUCCUAUUUUGUCACUCAUUUUUUCCAUGGCACAUUUGCGAAGAGCUGAUCACAGAGCGGCAGUGUCUUUAAUCAGACUCUACGGGCUGUAAAGUGAGAGAAUCUAAACGUGACGUCAAUGCCUAGUGACUGACGCAGCCCUUCAACGAAAAAAAAAACUGGCUUUUUAUUUAUUAUUUUCUUCUUCUUCUCGUCAGCAUAGCUUAAUUACUACAUUUUACAGUGCUCUGUCGACUAACAGAAAAAAUAAAAUUCGGCAGGCAGCGUCGGGUUAUCUGCAUACAUCAGUAUUUGGACCUAUUUUGCGUUCAUGAGUUUUAGCUGCUGAAGUGACACUGGGACGAGAAGCUUCUGAAGAGGGCGACAAGACAUCACAUAUUGUCCAUGAUAUUGGCAGCGACGACGACUUCCAGAUUGUAGUUGCAGAGGCUGAAAGUGUGUUUUAAGGAAGCGAAUGAGGUGGUGCUGCUGUUGAAGGCACAUUGGGUUCCUAAAAAAAGAAAAAGAAUCACUGCAAUGAUGCAACGGAGGGGAAUCGGGGCUCUUGUGCAGAGUUGGAGAGGCAAAAUUAAUUGACAUUACAUGCACUUCACGUAACGUUCCUAAGCGAUGCCUUUUGUCAGUGUGUUUUUUUUAAUUUUUUUCUCCUUCGUACUGAGACCUAAAAAUAGCAUCAUAGUUUUGAUCGUGCGCCAUAAAUAGACAGACGGGUAUCACUUGUAUAAAAAGGGAGGCGAUCCUGAGCAAACUUGGACGUGCCACUUUCAGAACAAGGACGUGCCUGCACGACGGAGAGAACAAUGGCAACAAAAACAAGAGCAAAGAUGGUGGUGAGGUGCCCGGGUGGACCCUGCCUCUGCUGUGGGAGCCUCCAGCUGUGCUCCGGGGAAAAAAGGGGGACACGCGUAUUGGAGGCUUUUCACCAAGGAGCACAGAGAGAAAGGGAGGGAGAGAGAGAGAGACCCACCUUCCUCCUCCUCCUGCUGCUUGUCGUCCCCUCUUCCUCACCCCGAGAAAGGGGCCCGAGGUGA